CGCGUAGGCGGUUGAUUAAGUCGGAUGUGAAAGCCCCGGGCUUAACCUGGGAACUGCAUUCGAUACUGUUCGACUAGAGUACGAGAGAGGGAGGUAGAAUUCCACGUGUAGCGGUGAAAUGCGUAGAUAUGUGGAGGAAUACCGGUGGCGAAGGCGGCCUCCUGGCUUGAUACUGACGCUGAGGUGCGAAAGCGUGGGGAGCAAACA
rnacentral:rRNA from 1 species